rnacentral:rRNA from 1 species
GACGAACGCUGGCGGUAUGCCUUACACAUGCAAGUCGUACGAGAGUUUUUAACUCAAGUGGCGGACGGGUGAGUAACACGUAAGAAUUUGCCUUUAGGAGGGGGACAACAACUGGAAACGGUUGCUAAUACCCCAUAUGCUUUCGAGUGAAACGGAUUUUCCGCCUAAAGAGAAGCUUGCGGCUGAUUAGCUUGUUGGUGAGGUAAUAGCUCACCAAGGCGACGAUCAGUAUCUGGUUUGAGAGGACGAUCAGACACACUGGAACUGAGACACGGUCCAGACUCCUACGGGAGGCAGCAGUGGGGAAUUUUCCGCAAUGGGCGAAAGCCUGACGGAGCAAUACCGCGUGGAGGAUGACGGCCUAUGGGUUGUAAACUUCUUUUUUCAGGGAGGAAUAAAUGACGUGUACCUGAAGAAUAAGCAUCGGCUAACUCCGUGCCAGCAGCCGCGGUAAGACGGAGGAUGCAAGUGUUAUCCGGAAUCACUGGGCGUAUAGCGUCUGUAGGUGGUCAAAUAAGUCAACUGUUAAAUCUUGAGGCUCAACCUCAAAAUCGCAGUCGAAACUA